rnacentral:pre_miRNA from 1 species
AGAGGGAUAGCUGGGUCAAAUGGUGGGUUCAUUCCAAGUUUUCCAAGGAGUCUUCAUGCUGCUUUCCAUAUUGGCUGCACCAAUUUGCAGUCCCACCAGCAAU